rnacentral:lncRNA from 1 species
CACCUCUCUCUCUCUCUCUUCAACUCAGAAGAACAUCGACUCUGAACAAAACAGGAGAACAUCAAAGCGAUCUCUGAUCCGGCCUGCUCAUGCUGCUCUCCAUCUCCGAUUAGGCCUCCACUCAUCUACGGUCUCAAUUUGUCCCCAUUUUCAUGUCGAUUAGGGUUUUAGCGUUUCACAAUCGCCUUCGAAUUCAACAAUCAGAUCGCAAAUCAUCAACAAGUUCUUCAAGAAAAAUAGUGCAUUGGGAGAAGAUUUGGAUUGGGAACGGAAUGUAAAGCCGCCACCUGUAAUCACGGAGGUGGUUUCUUAGUCCAUUGAAGAACUAAUCAUGAAACGUAUAUCUGAGGGGCACUUUGAUGAUGUUCAAAAAGUUAAUAAGUUGCCUUCUAAAACACCAAGGGAAAUGAAGGAAUUGGUAAAACACCACAAACUGCUAUAUCCAACUGUUUUUAAUUAAUUUUAUUUAUUGGUUUGUUUUAUGUGUGCUUGUGGGGAUAUAAAGCUUGAAUGUUAACUUUGCUGGAUGAAAAUUAGACUAAGAAGGGCCUUGGCGAAUUAUAUGUGGAUGAGUAUGCUCAAAAGACUGGACUGGUUUCACAAGCAUUGUCUUUCUCCGAUGAGCAAAAGAAGGAGUCGGUAGCUUCAAUUAAUCAACCAGCUUGGAAGGAGCUUUUAACCUAUGAAUCCUAUAAAAGAGAAGACAUGGUUACAAUUCAGGCUGGAGAAAAGGCUGCAAGCUGUAUUUCGGAUGUGUCUUAAAUCAAUGACUUGAGUUUUGUGAAAGAACUGAACAACAGCUCUUAUUGUUUUUUAGUAUAAACAAAUAUGAAAAGAACUGUCAUUGAUGGCUGAAUUCAGAUCUGUUUCCAAUCGACGGAGUGACGCCACGAUGACAGAAAUGGUGUUUUUCAAGAUUUUUGACCCUUACCAGCAACCGUUAUGUUGUUUAUCGUCUUCGAUAAUGGUUCAGUGUGUGUGUGUGUAUAAGUGUGUGUUGCAGAAGAUAAGGGAGUGAGUUUGAUUGGUGAUUUGAGUUUGGGUUAUUGGAGGUUUGACCACUGGAUUGAGGAAGCCUAUUCAGAAGUAGAAUCAAAGGAGAUCUAGAGGGCCAGUUUCACAUUUGAAGGGCAACAGUCUGGCUAUUCUGACUUUAAGAGGAGAUGAGAGAGACAUCUAUAACUGAUGUUCGUUUCAAAGAAAGGUCAAAUAAUCCUCGACCAUAAUUUCUAAAGGUGUUCUUUUUUUAUAUAACAUUAUUGCUUUUUUUAUCUACUCACGAACCAUGUUUAAUUAGGACAUGAACAAGAAAGUUGUGACAACUGUCAGAUUUGCAUGCAUCCGUACGUUUAAUUAAUGUUGAUUUAUGCUUAAUAACUGUGCUUAAUUACAACUGUAUAUUUU